UAUGAGGUCGCCACGGAACAGUAGGCCAUCAUCUCUACUGAUAUCAGGGAUUCCUUUACAAUGGUUUUCAAUUCCUUGCUGAAAGAAAUAACCUCUUGGCAAUUUUGAAGGGCAAAAUUAGGAGGUGCAGGGAAAUGUGUGAAGUCUGGCUGCAGUGCCCAAGAGAUAAGAAUCUUCUAAGCUGGCUGUUGUCCAGACUUGCCAUCCUCAUUGUAGUAAAACACUGGCCAGGAAGACAAAAGUGCAUCUGUGAAAGGAAACAGAAAGUCAUCUGGUCUUCAGGGAAAGGAGGAUUUCAAUUUUUCCUCUGGGCCCAGGACUAAGGUGAGAGAGGUCUGACACUGGAAGCUCUUUAAGCCGGCGCACAUGCAGGAGCCACCAGUG
rnacentral:lncRNA from 10 species